rnacentral:rRNA from 1 species
GAUGAACGCUGGCGGCGUGCCUAAUACAUGCAAGUCGAGCGAACAGAUGAGGAGCUUGCUCCUCUGACGUUAGCGGCGGACGGGUGAGUAACACGUGGAUAACCUACCUAUAAGACUGGGAUAACUUCGGGAAACCGGAGCUAAUACCGGAUAAUAUAUUGAACCGCAUGGUUCAAUAGUGAAAGGCGGUUUUGCUGUCACUUAUAGAUGGAUCCGCGCCGCAUUAGCUAGUUGGUAAGGUAACGGCUUACCAAGGCAACGAUGCGUAGCCGACCUGAGAGGGGGAUCGGCCACACUGGAACUGAGACACGGUCCAGACUCCUACGGGAGGCAGCAGUAGGGAAUCUUCCGCAAUGGGCGAAAGCCUGACGGAGCAACGCCGCGUGAGUGAUGAAGGUCUUCGGAUCGUAAAACUCUGUUAUUAGGGAAGAACAAAUGUGUAAGUAACUAUGCACGUCUUGACGGUACCUAAUCAGAAAGCCACGGCUAACUACGUG